rnacentral:rRNA from 1 species
UACGGAGGAUCCGAGCGUUAUCCGGAUUUAUUGGGUUUAAAGGGUGCGCAGGCGGGAGAUUAAGUCGGUGGUGAAAUUUUGCAGCUCAACUGUAAAAGUGCCAUUGAUACUGGUUUUCUUGAGUGUAGAUGAAGUAGGCGGAAUUUGUGGUGUAGCGGUGAAAUGCAUAGAUAUCACGAGGAACUCCGAUUGCGCAGGCAGCUUACUAAACUAUAACUGACGCUCAGGCACGAAGGCGUGGGGAUCAAACAGGAUUAGAUA